rnacentral:rRNA from 1 species
GACGAACGCUGGCGGCGUGCUUAACACAUGCAAGUCGAACGGUAAGGCCCCAGCUUGCUGGGGUACACGAGUGGCGAACGGGUGAGUAGCACGUGGGUGACCUGCCCCGCACUUCGGGAUAAGCCUGGGCGACUGGGUCUAAUACCGGCUAGGACCGCACCGUGAGGGGGGGGUGGAAAGUUUUUCGGUGUGGGAUGGGCCCGCGGCCUAUCAGCUAGUUGGUGGGGUAAUGGCCUACCAAGGCGGCGACGGGUAGCCGGCCUGAGAGGGUGGACGGCCACAUUGGGACUGAGGCACGGCCCAGACUCCUACGGGAGGCAGCAGUGGGGAAUAUUGCACAAUGGGCGGAAGCCUGAUGCAGCGACGCCGCGUGGGGGAUGACGGUCUUCGGGUGGUAAACUCCUUUCACCAUCGACGAAGGUUUUCUGACGGUAGAUGGAGAAGAAGCACCGGCUAACUACGUG